rnacentral:rRNA from 1 species
AUUGAACGCUGGCGGCAGGCCUAACACAUGCAAGUCGAACGAGUGGCGGACGGGUGAGUUAUGUCUGGGAAACUGCCUGAUGGAGGGGGAUAACUACUGGAAACUGUAGCUAAUACCGCCUACCAUCGGAUGUGCCCAGAUGGGAUGAGCUAGUAGGUGGGGUAAAGGCUCACCAAGGCGACGAUCCCUAGCUGGGCGGAGAGGAUGACCAGUCACACUGGAACUGAGACACGGUCCAGACUCCUACGGGAGGCAGCAGUGGGGAAUAUUGGACAAUGGGCGAAAGCCUGAUGCAGCCAUGCCGCGUGUGUGAAGAAGGUCUUCGGAUUGUAAAGUACUUUCAGCGGGGAGGCGUUACCCGCAGAAGAAGCACCGGCUAACUCCGUGCCAGCAGCCGCGGUAAUAC